UUCCUCCCCAGACUGCCCACCAGGUCCCGCUUCCCUAGUCUGCCCUCCGGGACCGGAGCUCCCAAUUCCCGCCUCCUCCUCAGAGGCCCUAGGACCUACCAACCUCACCCCCGCCAAGGCUCAGUUCUCUGCGCCUGCGUACUCCCGCGCGGGCAGGCGCUCCCAGGAGUCUGCGGGGCGGCGGGUUAGGAACGGCAAGGUCCCAGCUGCGGACGCUCCGGUGUGUUAGUGUCGGCGUCCGCACUCUUCCGGGUUGGACUCCGUUUUUCACAGGCCUUGGGGAGAUUGAUGAACUUCGGCCUCUGGUUCUUUUUCCGCUAGCCUUGUGGUCAUCGAUUUUGUGCGUUCUCACCCCUGUAGUCUCUGUGCUUCUCCAGGAGGGAAACCCUGAAGAGUACUGACAAGUUUCUCAACCAUUUUAAACCAUGGCUUUGGAAUGGGGAACAUUCAGGAAAGCGGCCCUAGAGUUCACUCAGGAGGAGUGGAAUAUCUGGGGUUCUGCUCUGAGGGAACUGUACUGGGAUGUGAUGAUGGAAAACAGCAACUUAGUCUUACUGGAAUGGAGACGUGUAAAUGGGACAAAGCACUCCUGGGAUAUGACUACGAGGGAGAGAUGGAGAAACAUGAUCCAUAAGGGUGAGCUGGAGAUGGAAGAAAGGACACAGUGUAACACGGGAACCUCCCUUCUUGCCAUAUAGUAAUAUUAUAAUCUAUUGAUUUUACGUCUAUGUUUACUCACUAGAAAACCAAGGUCUGUGGACAUAAUAAAGUCUUCUUCUUGUAUGGGCUCUCCUAAGCACUCAAUACUUAGACACCAAAUCACUGUCUAGACAAGAAAGGUUCAUUCAAGGAAUAUAUGCUUAUUUAAUUCAGGAGAAUGUAUUUCCAUUUGUGGGCAUGAGAAAGGAGAUGCUGAGCAAAACAUGCAAUUAGUAAGUGAACAUUAGUUAAAAUUAGAAGAAGAUGUUGGAUAAGGUACAGGUUUAUCUGGAGAGAAUAAAAGGAAAUGUGGACCAGUUUCAUGAAAGGGAAUCCUAUCUCCAGGAAGUUUCAAAAUGGGAAACUGCUCAUAUAUGCUAGGGGAAAAAGACUAUUGCAGAAAGGAGAAAAGAAACAUCCUCUAAUCGGAGCCAUGGCUUUAAGAUUUGCAAGAGAGGACCUUUGCUCUUUUCGAUUCUUUUUUAGAAAAAUGAACAAGGAAGAGAGAAGGGAGGCAUAAGAAAACAUGUGAAACUGCACUUACCUUAGAGUUUCCAUAACAACUUGAUUAAAUCUGCCUACUUACACAGUAAACAGUUACUAUUAAAUAUUAAUAUUCAUUAUGCUAAAUAUUAACUAUUCAGUAAUACAGGCUAGGGAAAUAGAGAAGAAACUGAUUAUGUACUUUUCCACACUGCAGGUUUCAGUCAGAUGGAAGAAAUUUUUCCUUUAAAUGAAGUUUAAAUAUUGAUUUUUACAGUAAACAUUUUUAUUAGAAAAUGACUAAUUUAAUUGCUAUGAGACUGACCUUGUGAUUCGAAGUAUUUCAGAUACUUUUCCUUAGCUUAGAGCGACUGAAAAAGUUAUUAAAUUACCCAUAAUUUCAUCCAGGAACAGGGA